UACGUAGGGGGCGAGCGUUGUCCGGAAUCAUUGGGCGUAAAGCGCGUGUAGGCGGCCCGGUAAGUCCGCUGUGAAAGUCCAGGGCUCAACCCUGGGAUGCCGGUGGAUACUGUCGGGCUCGAGUCCGGAAGAGGCGAGUGGAAUUCCUGGUGUAGCGGUGAAAUGCGCAGAUAUCAGGAGGAACACCAAUGGCGAAGGCAGAUCUCUGGGCCGUAACUGACGCUGAGGAGCGAAAGCAUGGGGAGCGAACAGG
rnacentral:rRNA from 1 species